CAACAGCGACGGUACGCUGUUUUGCGUGCACUAUACGUUCUGCUAUUCCGCCUCAGUUCAUAGUUUCUCGGUUUCGAUUUCAGUAUCGUAUAGGAAGUUGUAGCGAGUGCUUGCUUGGUAGAGCUUGGUCGAGCAGCAAAUAAAGGAAUGCAAAAGGCAAAGGUUUGCCGCAACGCAAAAUUCAUUCACCCACAAUGCAAAUGCAAUUUCGUGUAAAAAAAGUUAAUUACCGCAGGCCUUAAAAACAAACACAGAUGGUCUUUACAUCAAAACAACGAGAGUUGCCAGUUCGUGAUGCGUGUUUGUAUUAUUGAUGAAGCGAUACAAUAAAAAUCUUACUCAAUACGUAAAGUGAUUGUCAAUUAACAUUGAAGGUGAUGCAUAAAUAAACUUAAGCAGAACUAAACAAGAAAUCACCAUAAGUUAUUAAAGUUAUUAGUAUUUCAAGUGCAAGUGCUCCAGCUGUGAAUGACAACGAAGAACGGCUGAUGAAAUGAAUUAGUGCUGCUCCGGCGGAUGCUCGAUAUUGUAGUUUGUAGCGAGCACGAUCUGGUGCCUGGACAAUUGGAGCUACUAUACGAACAAAAUAUGUAGUGUUAAAAUUAAAAUUAAAAUAAAAUCAAAAUCAAUUAAUGUCCGCGUGCAGUUAAAAUUCGUGUUAUAAUAACAAUAACAAAAACAACAUUCUGUGGAGCUUGCGCAGCUGUUGGAAAGCUAAAUGUAACAAGGAUUUGCCAGAAAUGUGAUCAAUUGAAACGUUAAACGUGCGCGUUCGUUUCUAUAUUUCCAUACAUAUUUACUCGCGUGUAUGCAUACAAGUGUGCGCAUGUAUGCAUGUGUUCAUUAGUUCGAGAGAGUGCUUGUAGUGUGCAGUGUAGCGGUCACAGCAACAGUAGUUGAACCCGGAACCCGUUUGUGGAAAAUCUAAAUUUGUUGCCGCCGUCGUCACCGUCGUCAUCAUCGAUGUUUUUUCUAAAGUGUUAAGAUUGAGAUGGAAUUGGCGUUUUCCCAUUUUGAUUGAAAUAAUGCAUGCCAGUGCUUCCCUAUGUCUUUGAGAAGUGCGUUAUUAUCGUUUAGUUAUAGCCAUAGCUAUACUCCCAGACUUAGUGUAUUUAGCUAGCCGUCAACCAGACAUUCGUUAUUUGUGCCAGCGCAACGGAUCCAGCUGGAAAUAAGUCGAUCAAUUCUUUUUAUCGCAAUAUCGUUUAAUCCAAAAGCAAGGUCAAAAUAGUCAUAAUGGAUAUGAAAUUGGAGCUAGUAAAUCAGUCGCAGGAGAUGAGUACCGGCUCGCCGUCGGAGGUGCCAAAUGAUCCAGGGAAAAUGUUUAUCGGCGGAUUAAGUUGGCAAACCAGCCCAG